GACCCAUGGUGAGGGCCUCUUCUCAAUAAAUCCUUAUACCUCUCCCAUGCAUCUUAUAAUGUCUCUAAAUCCAUUUGUAGAAGAGAUAUCAUUCCUCAAUUU
rfam:Gossypium hirsutum cultivar TM-1 chromosome 1, whole genome shotgun sequence